rnacentral:rRNA from 1 species
AGAACGAACGCUGGCGGCAUGCCUAAUACAUGCAAGUCGAACGAACUCUUCGGAGUUAGUGGCGCACGGGUGCGUAACGCGUGGGAAUCUGCCCCUUGGUUCGGAAUAACAGUUGGAAACGACUGCUAAUACCGGAUGAUGACGAAAGUCCAAAGAUUUAUCGCCAAGGGAUGAGCCCGCGUAGGAUUAGCUAGUUGGUGAGGUAAAGGCUCAUCAAGGCAACGAUCCUUAGCUGGUCUGAGAGGAUGAUCAGCCACACUGGGACUGAGACACGGCCCAGACUCCUACGGGAGCAGCAGUAGGAAUA